UACGUAGGGUGCGAGCGUUAAUCGGAAUUACUGGGCGUAAAGCGUGCGCAGGCGGUUUUGUAAGUCAGAUGUGAAAUCCCCGGGCUUAACCUGGGAACUGCGUUUGAAACUACAAGGCUAGAGUGUAGCAGGGGGGGGUGGAAUUCCACGUGUAGCAGUGAAAUGCGUAGAGAUGUGGAGGAACACCGAUAGCGAAGGCAGCUCACUAGGCCUGGAUUGACGCUCAGGGACGAAAGCGUGGGGAUCAAACAGG
rnacentral:rRNA from 1 species